GGGGAUUUGGCUCAGUGGUAGAGCGCUUGCCUAGGAAGCCCAAGGUCCUGGGUUCGGUCCCCAGCCCCG
rfam:Rattus norvegicus chromosome 5, whole genome shotgun sequence.